rnacentral:lncRNA from 1 species
GAAGAACUUUUGAAAUGACCGGGGGCGAAAAGAACUUUUCUACAUUUUGGGUUUGUAUAAAUGGGGGCAUUUGGCCUUUUUUUACUAAAUUGUAGUCUUAGUGUUGAGCUUCGUAAAAAAACCAGUAUAUACCAUAUUAUAUUGAAAGAGUUGAUAACAUUCUCAUAUUCCAUUCCUAAAGUCACACCCAGUAUAUACCAUAUUAUAUUGAAAGAGUUGAUAACAUUCUCAUAUUCCAUUCCUAAAGUCACACCGGUUGAAUUCUAACCAUGUAUCUAACUUAUUUGUGGAUACAAAGUAGUUUUCUUUGAGUUUUGAGUGCAAACCUAUUGUUAGACAAAUUCAGAUACACCAUGAAUGACAACCACAUUCAAAAUCAAAAACGAGAAGUGAUCUGUGAAAACAAAGCCUUGAAGUUCUUUGUU